rnacentral:rRNA from 1 species
GAAUCCCGUCUUUGGCACGGGUGCACCAGGGCUUUUGUGAUGCGCUCUCGAAGAGUCGAGUUGUUUGGGAAUGCAGCUCAAAAUGGGUGGUGAACUCCAUCUAAAGCUAAAUAUUGGCGAGAGACCGAUAGCGAACAAGUACCGUGAGGGAAAGAUGAAAAGCACUUUGGAAAGAGAGUGAAACAGUACGUGAAAUUGUUGAAAGGGAAACGCUUGAAGUCAGUCGCGUCGACCGAGACUCAGCCUUGCCUCGGCUCGGUGUACUUCUCGGCCGACGGGUCAGCAUCAAUUUUGCCCCUCGGAUAAUGGCGAGAGAAAGGUGGCACCCUCACGGGUGUGUUAUAGUCUCCCGUCGGAUGCGAGGGUCGGGAUUGAGGAACUCGGCACGUACCGUGCUUAGGAUGUUGGCAUAAUGGCUUUAAACGACCCGUCUUGAAACACGGACCAAGGAGUCUAACAUGCCCGCGAGUGUUCGGGUGGAAAACCCGUGCGCGUAAUGAAAGUAAAAGUUGGGACCCCUGUCGUGGGGGGCACCGACGCCCGGACCAGACCUUCUGUGACGGAUCUGCGGUAGAGCGUGCAUGUUGGGACCCGAAAGAUGGUGAACUAUGCCUGAAUAGGGUGAAGCCAGAGGAAACUCUGGUGGAGGCUCGUAGCGAUUCUGACGUGCAAAUCGAUCGUCAAAUUUGGGUAUAGGGGCGAAAGACUAAUCGAACCAUCUAGUAGCUGGUUCCUGCC